GGGUACUGAGUGGCGUGGUGCGCGGCAGCUUAUCGGCGCACGUGUAGUCGUUUUGUUUUGGUGUGUGUGUGUGUGUUAUGCGUUGCCUCCAUCGGGAAACUGCAACACCAGAGAGCGUACAGACAGUUGCCGUGCCACUGAUUUCCCACCGGGUGAUCGACCUUUCAAGGGACUUGCGUGCCCGUUUGCCGUGCAACAGGCCGGAAGCCUGCUUGUAUAUGUAUUACUGGUAAGUACAUUGUGGCAGCAAUUCUCUGCCUCCCACUGCAGCUCCGGAUGCGUGGCCAUUUCGCCAAGGCCUUAGCAGACAAGGUAUGAGACUUUUGCACAUAUUUGUGGGUCCACGUUUUGAGAGCUGUACUCGUAGACAACCAAGUACCUAGUCGUGGUACUUUUCAAGAACUCUGUAGACUUAGCAACAUGAAGGGCACGGUUUUUCUGUUUGUCCUGUUGAGUCUUCAUUCAGCAAAGUUUGAGGCUGUGUUCCUUUUGCUUCAUGUGGAAGCAAUGUUGUCCCUGUGACUUCAGUGGUAUCUGCGAUUCUGAACACAUCGUUCUGCGCACCCAGAUAACUCGUAGCAAUUAGGCACAUUUUCUUCGCUGGCACUUCGGGGGUGUUCUCCCCAUGCCCUUGAAAAAAAGAAAAGAAAACUUAUAGUGCUUCAUGAGGGUGCCAGUCGUGUUUCUGGAUACAGCAGCUGACAAGAUUUUCA
rnacentral:lncRNA from 1 species